rnacentral:lncRNA from 1 species
CCCGCGCCAGGGCCGUGCCAGGAUCCCACCAGCCAGCGAAACCCGCACCAGGGCCGUGCUGGGGACCCGCCAGCGACACCCGCGCCAGGGCCGUGCCGGGAUGCCGCCAGCCAGCAACACCCGCGCCAGGGCCGUGCCGCGAUCCCACCAGCCAGCGACACCCGCGCCAGGGUCCCGCCAGUGACACCCGCGCCAGGGCCGUGCCAGGAUCCCACCAGCCAGCGAAACCCGCACCAGGGCCGUGCUGGGGACCCGCCAGCGACACCCGCGCCAGGGCCNACCAGGGCCGUGCUGGGGACCCGCCAGCGACACCCGCGCCAGGGCCGUGCCGGGAUGCCGCCAGCCAGCAACACCCGCGCCAGGGCUGUGCUGGGGACCCGCCAGCCAGCGACACAUGCGCCAGGGUCCUGCCAGCAACACCCGCGCCAGGGCUGUGCCAGGGUCCUGCCAGCCAGCGACACCCACACCAGGGCCGUGCCGGGGACCCACCAGCCAGCGACACCAGCGCCAGGGCUGUGCCGGGGUCCCGCCAGCCAGUGACACAUGCGCCAGGGUCCCGCCAGCAACACCCGUGCCAGUGCUGUGCUGGGAGCCUGAUGGAGCCUGGCAGGUGCCCAUGGGGCAAUGAGACCCUCUCCCCCCUUCCCUGUGUGUGCCCUGGACCUUGCCCCUGGGCACGUGGAGAUCUGCCCCUGCCAGGCACCCAGCGACCUGCUGCCCCCACACAGCAACAAGCACAAGGGGCUGCCCUCCAGGACAGCGAGGGGGCACUGGGGGGGGCCCACACUGCACCUGCUGCCUGGCCCCCAAAGCCUGGAUCCAGGGGACCUGCGAAAGGAGACACUGGGAGCGAAAGCCGGGACAGGGACUGUGCUGUGGGUCGGGGAGCCCCCCCCACGUGUGCGGCAUGACCUGCUGCCCCGGCUGGAGCCUGGCCCCCAAAACCCAGAAGUGCACAAAAGCCAUCUGCACCCCGAAGUGCCGCAAUGGGGGGCUGUGCCGGGAGCCCCAAGUCUGCACCUGCCGCCCGGGGUUCGCUGGCCACCGGUGUGAGCAGCUGGUGCCCACCGACCCCACCUCGGGGCUCCCCCCAGCGCCCACCUCCCACCCGGCCAGCGCCUCCACCCUGCACCCCACAGGCCCCAGUGCCAGGAGGGCAGCGUCCGUGAAGUGGCGGCCACUGACGUGAGUGGGGUGAUUGGGGAGGGGCAG